rnacentral:rRNA from 1 species
AGUGAACGCUGGCGGUAGGCCUAACACAUGCAAGUCGAACGGCAGCACAGUAAGAGCUUGCUCUUACGGGUGGCGAGUGGCGGACGGGUGAGGAAUACAUCGGAAUCUACUUUUACGGGGGGGAUAACGUAGGGAAACUUACGAUAAUACCGCAUACGACCUACGGGUGAAAGCAGGGGAUCUUCGGACCUUGCGCGAUUGAAUGAGCCGAUGUCGGAUUAGCUAGUUGGCGGGGUAAAGGCCCACCAAGGCGACGAUCCGUAGCUGGUCUGAGAGGAUGAUCAGCCACACUGGAACUGAGACACGGUCCAGACUCCUACGGGAGGCAGCAGUGGGGAAUAUUGGACAAUGGGCGCAAGCCUGAUCCAGCCAUACCGCGUGGGUGAAGAAGGCCUUCGGGUUGUAAAGCCCUUUUGUUGGGAAAGAAAAGCAGCAGGUUAAUCCCCCGCUGUUCUGACGGUACCCAAAGAAUAAGCACCGGCUAACUUCGUG